rnacentral:rRNA from 1 species
GCCCGCGGCCGAUUAGCUAGUUGGUAGGGUAAUGGCCUACCAAGGCGACGAUCGGUAGCCGGCCUGAGAGGGCACACGGCCACACUGGCACUGAAACACGGGCCAGACUCCUACGGGAGGCAGCAGUGGGGAAUCUUGCACAAUGGGGGGAAACCCUGAUGCAGCGACGCCGCGUGAACGAUGAAGCCCUUCGGGGUGUAAAGUUCUUUCGACGGGGACGAUAAUGACGGUACCCGGAGAAGAAGCUGCGGCUAACUACGUGCCAGCAGCCGCGGUAAUACGUAGGCAGCAAGCGUUGUUCGGAAUUACUGGGCGUAAAGAGUGCGUAGGCGGUUGGCUAAGUUUGGUGUGAAAUCUCCCGGCUCAACUGGGAGGGUGCGCCGAAAACUGGUCGGCUAGAGUGUGGGAGAGGUAAGUGGAAUUCCUGGUGUAGCGGUGAAAUGCGUAGAUAUCAGGAGGAACACCUGCGGUGUAGACGGCUUACUGGACCAUGACUGACGCUGAGGCACGAAAGCGUGGGGAGC